GACGAACGCUGGCGGCGUGCUUAACACAUGCAAGUCGUACGGUAAGGCCCUUUCGGGGGUACACGAGUGGCGAACGGGUGAGUAACACGUGAGUAACCUGCCCACAACUUUGGGAUAACGCUAGGAAACUAGUGCUAAUACUGGAUAUGUGCCCCUGCUGCAUGGUGGGGGUUGGAAAGCUCCGGCGGUUGUGGAUGGACUCGCGGCCUAUCAGCUUGUUGGUGGGGUAGUGGCCUACCAAGGCGGCGACGGGUAGCCGGCCUGAGAGGGUGACCGGCCACAUUGGGACUGAGAUACGGCCCAGACUCCUACGGGAGGCAGCAGUGGGGAAUAUUGCACAAUGGGCGCAAGCCUGAUGCAGCAACGCCGCGUGCGGGAUGACGGCCUUCGGGUUGUAAACCGCUUUCAGCAGGGACGAAGCUUUUUGUGACGGUACCUGCAGAAGAAGCACCGGCUAACUACGUG
rnacentral:rRNA from 1 species